AAUAAUUAUUUCGCACUUAAAAAUAUAUUUAAAUUAAAUCAUACAAAUAAUACUGUUUGUAACUGUAGAAGAGGUCACAGUGCAAGGUUGGGCAGGGUUUGUCAGAAAAGGAAAAGUCGAAGAAGGACAAGAAGAAGAUCAGUGGAUCGCCAUUGCUAAGUUUCUAAUGUGCUUCUUUCUCCUCUUUAAAUUAGCUUUUCCUUUUUAUAUUCAUUUUCUUUCUUCUUUUUUUGAAUAUCUUUGUUUCUGAAACGAAACUGGUUUUGGCAACGUUAUUCUUCGAACGUUGUUAAGAACGAGAAGCGAAUGGGAAGGAACGGAAACUGAAAGCGCAAGCCAGAAGACACCAGUUUCACAGAUAGAUGCUUCGUGACAACGGAAUUACAGCAAGAUUUUCGUCUACUCCUUUGCCAUCAUCAGAAAGCAGUCGCCUGGACAGCAGAAGAUACUGUAGUGAACGAGAGCCUACUUGUGUAAUAGCAGCAGCGAUGAAGUCUUGGACUCGCUGUUCCACAUAGUAAUCAAAUAGAAGGGGAUCAUCCUGCAGUCGUCAAUUGUAACAUUUUACAGUGAGCAAUGUGCUUUAACCAAAUAAAUAUGCAGCACAACAUUUGCAAUGUUCAGGUUUUAGUGGUAAAAUGUAAGAACCUGUAUGGGAACAAAGUCGUCAUUGACUUCAAAAUGGAAGCCUUUCGGUGGACCGUAAUGAACAGGAAAAGUGUUGGAAAAAAUCUGUUGAAGAUGUAAAAUAGGUAAAUUAAAAAUUUAAAGUAACUUUGUCAAUGAUAAAAGAUGACUUGACACAACCAAACCUGCUCUGAAGAGCCAAAUG